UACGUAGGGGGGCUAGCGUUGUCCGGAAUCAUUGGGCGUAAAGCGCGUGUAGGCGGUCCGGUAAGUCCGCUGUGAAAGUCGAGGGCUCAACCCUCGAAUGCCGGUGGAUACUGUCGGGCUAGAGUGCGGAAGAGGCGAGUGGAAUUCCUGGUGUAGCGGUGAAAUGCGCAGAUAUCAGGAGGAACACCUAUUGCGAAGGCAGCUCGCUGGGACGUUACUGACGCUGAGACGCGAAAGCGUGGGGAGCAACAGG
rnacentral:rRNA from 1 species